rnacentral:rRNA from 1 species
GGGCGUUAAGUUGCAGGGUAUAGACCCGAAACCCGGUGAUCUAGCCAUGGGCAGGUUGAAGGUUGGGUAACACUAACUGGAGGACCGAACCGACUAAUGUUGAAAAAUUAGCGGAUGACCUGUGGCUGGGGGUGAAAGGCCAAUCAAACCGGGAGAUAGCUGGUUCUCCCCGAAAGCUAUUUAGGUAGCGCCUCGUGAAUUCAUCUCCGGGGGUAGAGCACUGUUUCGGCUAGGGGGCCAUCCCGGCUUACCAACCCGAUGCAAACUGCGAAUACCGGAGAAUGUUAUCACGGGAGACACACGGCGGGUGCUAACGUCCGUCGUGAAGAGGGAAACAACCCAGACCGCCAGCUAAGGUCCCAAAGUCAUAGUUAAGUGGGAAACGAUGUGGGAAGGCCCAGACAGCCAGGAUGUUGGCUUAGAAGCAGCCAUCAUUUAAAGAAAGCGUAAUAGCUCACUGGUCGAGUCGGCCUGCGCGGAAGAUGUAACGGGGCUAAACUAUGCACCGAAGCUGCGGCAGCGACACUAUGUGUUGUUGGGUAGGGGAGCGUUCUGUAAGCCUGUGAAGGUGUGUCGUGAGGCAUGCUGGAGGUAUCAGAAGUGCGAAUGCUGACAUAAGUAACGAUAAAGCGGGUGAAAAGCCCGCUCGCCGGAAGACCAAGGGUUCCUGUCCAACGUUAAUCGGGGCAGGGUGAGUCGACCCCUAAGGCGAGGCCGAAAGGCGUAGUCGAUGGGAAACGGGUUAAUAUUCCCGUACUUGGUGUUACUGCGAAGGGGGGACGGAGAAGGCUAUGUUGGCCGGGCGACGGUUGUCCCGGUUUAAGCGUGUAGGUGUGUGUUCCAGGUAAAUCCGGUU